rnacentral:snoRNA from 12 species
ACAGCAUCUUAACAGGUCAUGGCCUCUGCGCAGUAGGCCAGGAUUUGGUAGCUGGUGCUAAGAUCAGUUCUCUCUUGCAACAUUCCCACAAGCCAACUCUGGGCUUUCUGGGAUUAAUAUGGGAGAGAAACAAAC